AAAAGAAAUGUGAUCUUAUUUGAGAGAUUUAUGAAUUUUAGAAUAUUCAUUCAAUGUUGAAGAACAGGAUUUUCCAAGAUUUUUCCUGACUUUGCC